rnacentral:rRNA from 1 species
UACGUAGGGUGCGAGCGUUAAUCGGAUUUACUGGGCGUAAAGCGUGCGCAGGCGGUCAGUUAAGUCUGAUGUGAAAGCCCCGGGCUCAACCUGGGAAUGGCAUUGGAAACUGGCUUGCUGGAGUGUGGCAGAGGGGGGUGGAAUUCCGCGUGUAGCAGUGAAAUGCGUAGAGAUGCGGAGGAACACCGAUGGCGAAGGCAGCCCCCUGGGCCAACACUGACGCUCAGGCACGAAAGCGUGGGGAGCAAACAGG